GAUGAAGAACGUAGCGAAAUGCGAUACUUGGUGUGAAUUGCAGAAUCCCGUGAACCAUCGAGUCUUUGAACGCAAGUUGCGCCCGAAGCCAUUAGGCCGAGGGCACGCCUGCCUGGGCGUCACACGUCGUUGCCCCCCCAUCUACUCCUUCGGGAUUGCGGGGGGCGGAUGAUGGCCUCCCGUGCGCCUCGUCGCGCGGUUGGCCUAAAUGCCAAGUCCUCGGCGACGCACGCCACGACAAUCGGUGGUUGCGAAACCUCGGUUGCCCGUCGUGUGCGGUCGUCGCGCAUCGAGGGCUAGAAAAAAUUGCCGGGCUUCGGCUCGACUUUCAACGCGACCCCAGGUCAGGCGGGGUUACCCGCUGAAUUUAAGCAUAUCAAUAAGCGGAGA
rnacentral:misc_RNA from 1 species